rnacentral:rRNA from 1 species
AGAGUUUGAUCCUGGCUCAGAACGAACGCUGGCGGCAGGCCUAACACAUGCAAGUCGAACGCUCGUAGCAAUACGAGAGUGGCAGACGGGUGAGUAACACGUGGGAACCUUCCCUAUGGUUCGGAAUAGCUCAGGGAAACUUGGGGUAAUACCGGAUAAGCCCUUCGGGGGAAAGAUUUAUCGCCAUUGGAUGGGCCCGCGUCGGAUUAGCUAGUUGGUGAGGUAACGGCUCACCAAGGCAACGAUCCGUAGCUGGUCUGAGAGGAUGAUCAGCCACACUGGGACUGAGACACGGCCCAGACUCCUACGGGAGGCAGCAGUGGGGAAUAUUGGACAAUGGGCGCAAGCCUGAUCCAGCCAUGCCGCGUGAGUGACGAAGGUCUUCGGAUUGUAAAACUCUUUUGGCGGGGACGAUAAUGACGGUACCCGCAGAAUAAGCCCCGGCUAANNUNGNGCCAGCAGCCGCGGUAAUAC